AACGAACGCUGGCGGCAUGCCUAACACAUGCAAGUCGAACGAUACCUUCGGGUCUAGUGGCGCACGGGUGCGUAACGCGUGGGAACCUGCCCUUAGGUUCGGAAUAACUCCCCGAAAGGGGUGCUAAUACCGGAUAAUGUCGUCGGACCAAAGAUUUAUCGCCUUUGGAUGGGCCCGCGUUGGAUUAGCUAGUUGGUAGGGUAAAAGCCUACCAAGGCGACGAUCCAUAGCUGGUCUGAGAGGAUGAUCAGCCACACUGGGACUGAGACACGGCCCAGACUCCUACGGGAGGCAGCAGUGGGGAAUAUUGGACAAUGGGCGAAUGCCUGAUCCAGCAAUGCCGCGUGAGUGAUGAAGGCCUUAGGGUUGUAAAGCUCUUUUACCCGGGAUGAUAAUGACAGUACCGGGAGAAUAAGCGCCGGCUAACUCCGUG
rnacentral:rRNA from 1 species